CUCUGGUGUUUUUCCUGGCCUAUCAGCUGUAAGGGGCGGAGCUAACCCAUGUGUAUAUGUGCCAUGAUUAGCCAGGAAAUAUAUAUUCUGGGAGUAGUCCUAAUAACAAUACUUUUUUUUUUUAACCUGGAUCUGGAACUCACAACAUGGGGUCUAGACAAUUUCCACUGAUGCUAUUUUCAUAUAUUAGUACUGUACAUAUUUUAUAAAGCCAAGAGGCUGCCCUCACCUGAACAUUCAUACAUUGUAAGGGUGCUGUUGGGGACAAUUUAUACAUGAUCUAGAGCACAUUCACUAAAUAGCAAUUUCAAAUCUCACAGAAUGUGGUUUUUAUAAAAACUAUUACAAACUAGACAAAAAUAAUGAGGUUUUGUUACAGUAUAUGAUCAAAUGUUGCAUAUGCCUGCUACAACGCCAAUGUACCCCAUUCUUGGCAGGUCCUACUCUAGCAGCCUAAUGCUUGCUCUUAUGAGACUCU